UUCUUGAACUGUUUACUGUAAAAAAAAAGUGUGUUAAUGUUUACACAGUUAAUUGACACCGAACUUGAUUUGCAGACACUACCAAACGAAGAAGAGGAGGAGGAGGAGGAAGAAGAAGACGAGGAACACAGGAGGAGCCCAUUGAGACAAGAAGAAGAAGAAGAGGAAGAAGAGGAAGAGGAAGACUGACAGACAGACAUUCCAUUGAGUGUGCGGUGUCCCGCAGGCAGGCAGACCGAGACGCCAGCCAUUCAAUUCUGCCGAGGGAAGGAAGUCGUGUUAGUCAACUCUGAUGACUUGUACUUUUCUCUGCAAGGGACUGUUCUGUAAGCCAGUCACAGAAGAUGUGAACUGUAUCUGUACUAUGAAGUCUUAUAAAUAAAGUUAAAGGCUACA